CAGGGGUGUCCCCGCGGCGCCGGCACCGCCCUCACGCCCCCGUGUGCCCGCAGAGAACCAGGAGUACUUCGAGAAGCACCGCUGGCCGCCGGUGUGGUACCUGAAGGAGGAGGAUCACUACCAGCGGGCGAAGAAGGAGCGGGAGAAGGAAGAUUACCUGCACCUCAAGCGGCAGCCCAAGAGGCGCUGGCUCUUCUGGAACGCCUCCUCCUCCCCUUCUUCCUCUCCUUCAUCGUCGGCAGCCACAGCCUCCUCUUCCUCCUCCUCCUCCUCCUCCUCGGCUGUGGUUUGAAAGCCCCAGCGAGACGGGGAGGAGGAGGAGGAGGAGGAGGAGGAAGGGUGGGAUGCCCUGCCCCAGCGCCAGGCGUGGAGCGGCACAAGCCCCGCAGCGCAGGCGGUGGCCACUGGGGAGGGGCUCAGGGCCACUGGGGGGGGGGGGGGGGGGGGGGGGGGGGGGGGGGGGGGGGGGGGGGGGGGGGGGGGGGGGGGGGGGGGGGGGGGGGGGGGGGGGGGGGGGGGGGGGGGGGGGGGGGGGGGGGGGGGGGGGGGGGGGGGGGGGGGGGGGGGGGGGGGGGGGGGGGGGGGGGGGGGGGGGGGGGGGGGGGGGGGGGGGGGGGGGGGGGGGGGCCGCAGCGCAGGCGGUGGCUACUGGGGAGGGGCUCAGGGCCACUGGGGAGGGGCUCGGUGGCCACUGGGGAGGGGCUCAGGGCCACCUCCCGGCGCCCCUGGAGCCCUGCAGAGCCCGAGCAGCAGGAGGAACUCGCAGUUUGCAGGAGCACGACGGGCUGUGCCGUGGUUCCGGAGUUUUUGUUGGAAAUUGGUUUUGAUUUUUGGGGGCAGCGUGAGAAAGAAGAAGACAAAGAAGAAGAAGAAGAAGAAGAAGAAGAAGAGACAUAUCCUGCUUCCAUUUUGAUCUGGAACCAGAAGCUCUGGGAUGUGGUUUGGGUGUCUGAUGGCAUCUCACCACCUGGAGCCGCCCUGGGGGUCCCGCAGCCCCCUGCACUCACAGGCACAGGCCAGGGGACCCUGGUCCCCAAAGCCACCAGGCACUGCAGAACAUCCCCUACACGUGGGGUCUGUCCUCAUUCGGGGCACGGAGGGGAUCAGAGUCCUCUCCUCCCUGUUCUUAACUCUUCGGUUUUGUUUAGAUAG
rnacentral:lncRNA from 1 species